rnacentral:rRNA from 1 species
UUAAACGGCCGCGGUAUUUUGACCGUGCGAAGGUAGCGCAAUCACUUGUCUUUUAAAUGAAGACCUGUAUGAAUGGUAGAACGAGGGCUUAACUGUCUCCCUUNUCCAGUCAAUGAAAUUGAUCUGYCCGUGCAGAAGCGGACAUAAAAAUACAAGNCGAGAAGACCCUUUGGAGCUUAAGAUAAAAACCAACUAUGUCAAGAGCCAAAUAAAAUUAAGCUAAACUAAAUAUGCACCUGGUUAAUAUCUUCAGUUGGGGCGACUGCGGGAGAAAAUAAAGCUCCCACGAGGAUUGGGGCUAUUCCUAAAACCAAGAAAGCCACUUCUAAGUCACAGAACAUCUGACCACUUAAGAUCCGGCCACCAGCCGAUCAACGGACCAAGUUACCCUAGGGAUAACAGCGCAAUCCCCUUUAAGAGUCCAUAUCGACAAGGGGGUUUACGACCUCGAUGUUGGAUCAGGACAUCCUAAUGGUG